GAAUCUCUUCAAUCAAAUUUGAUUCACGUUAAUAUUGCGUUUUUGUCGACAGAGCAAAAAGUUGCCAGUAAAGCUGACAAAAAUAGAUAAUUUACGGCACAUGGAGCGUCAUGAGAUCGACAUCUUUGACAAGUCGGCAAGCUACUCGAGAAGCGCGAGCAGGUAACAGUGACUAUUAUAGUAGAAUUAGCUGUAGUCGCAGAAGUAACUCUAGUUGUAGUGCUAGGUGUAUUUUCGAGCAAUUUAUAUUAGUAAAUAAGUGCUAUUUAGUUUUAGUAUGAAGAUAAUGACUCUUACGUAUCUUCCUAGUAAUACCAUCUCAUUAAAAAUAAGGAUAUAGAUAUUCAAAGUGAUCAAAGAUAUUAAAAUAUAAGCUAUUAUUAACUUAUUAUUAUAUAUAUAUAUCAACAUAUAUACAAAUAUGUAUUAAAUAAAAUAUACAGGCUGUCUCUAAAAUCGUCGUACAAACGGUCGUAUGCAAUGUAUAAUUAUAUAAUAAAAUAUGAAAAAAAUCGCUUUAUUUUCUAAAAAGGUUAGUUUGAAAAUUCGCCAGGUUCCUGUGUAUUAACUGUUAGCUUCGAAGUAUGAAAUUUCUGUUUUUGCUCGUGUUUGUAUUAUUAAACAUGAUUUAUGUCACGAUUUGAAAAUAAUGUUACUAUCGUUUUUCGUUUUAUUUCUGUACCCAGCUGGGUCGUACCCCGAUUUUGGGCACAUCCUGUAUAUCGUUUUUUCUUCCAGACAAAAAUUACCUGAAACUGGGAUUCUUGAUACAUGCAACAAUCACUAACAUUUGGCCCGUAUAUAUUACAAAGUCGCUUUCCUAUUGCAUCAUACACCGUAAAACUGGAACCUAUUAUAUGCAAAUUUUGUCCUAUUGUGCCAAUUAAAUUUGGGCUUAGCACCGACAUACUCUGUACAAUGAAAUUUUCAUCUUUUUGUUAUAUGAUGAAUUACGAACGUGUGCUGAGGUCAACAAUCUGCUGAAUUUCCAAUUGUUCCACGUUAGAUAAGAAGAAGAUGAUAUACAUACCUUGUGGUUGUGCCGUAAUGACGGUUGGCCCCGAAAGGACAGGAACUGUAUUGGAUACCGAAUUCUGUUGCAUUUCUAUAUACUGGGUGGUUACCUGGUUUGGCUCUGCGUGAUUA